UUGUUUUCUUCUUCUUCUCUUUAAUUAUUAAUGAUGCUUUGUUUUUAGUUGCUUUUUAUUUCCUCUUCCGCAGGUAAGUAACUCUUCCAACAGAAAAAAAAAAGAGGGAAAAUUCUGGCUUUUGUGCCUGUUUUGCUUUACUGCUUUGUUCCUCUCCUGCUGCUUUGCUCUGCCUCUUUUGCUUUACCACUUUGUAGAAUAUGAUAUUCUCAGAUGCUAGCAUUUGAUGUUGGUGAAUUAUGUGACCUUUGGUGGAGAGUGUGAGGCUCUGCGCUGAGCAAAUAGAUGCAGGCAGUUGGCUUUUAGUAGUAAUGAAGAACAUACAGGUGUUUCCCUCUUUUAAUAAGUAAUUAUAUGUAUAUAAUUGCUCUCUUUGGUGUCAGCUAAGUAGCCACUGUGUCAAGUUACAAGUGGUCAUUACUCCUAAGUUAACAUAUAAAAGAACUGUUCACUCCUAAGUUGCAACUGUUGUAUUUUUUGGAUUUUUUUUUAAAUUUUAGUAGGAAAAAAGUAUGAUUAAUUCAGUUAAGUGAUAUUGCCAUUAGACAGAUAGCUCGUUGUAGUUGCUUAUCUAAAUACUUAUUUGUUUGUGUCUAUAUCUAUGUGCAGUGGUUUUAAAAUGGAGAAUGUCAUUCAAACAAGUAGAUUUUUAAUAGCUUUCUUUGGACUUAGGAAGUUAUGCUUUGCGUUUCAAACAUAAUGAAAGAUACCAUGCGUUUCAAACUUCAAUUUCCAACUGUGGAACAUACCUUAUCGUCUAGAGUUUAUAGCUUGUGGAAAAUAAGAUUUGAUGUUAUAACCACUUUAGUUGUGGAUAAGAAUCCUUUCACUAUAUGUUAUAAGCUUUGAUGUUCUCUUUAUGGCAUGUGAUUAUUUAUAUGAUUGUUAUUUGGUAAAUUACUGAUGUGGAUAAACUUUAUAUCUAAUAUACUGGACAUUGUUAUGAUAGAAUGUUCUUUCAAUUUUAAUAUUGUAUGAGCAAAAUGAAAUGGAUUAGGAUACUGCAAAGGAGUAAUCACUUUAAUAAUAAGUAUUAUUUAAUGAAAUCUUCUACAUAUUCCUUAAUGUUCUUGUCAUUGAGUUUAAGUUGGAUUAUAGGUUCAAUUGUAUUUAUUGUUCCUUGACUGUGUUGUGUUGCAUGUAUGUACUAAAAUCCCCCAGCAUUGCAUCAAUAUCAGAUUGUUAUUCAUGUCACAUGAUGAAUGAGUAGUUUUCAAGUUUCUUAAUAAAGUCAAUCAAAGUGGAGAGCAGCAGUAUUCCUAUGAGUUGUAUUUCUUUGCACAGGUCAUACAGUAGCCAGUAAAAAUGGGAAGUAAAGGUCGAAUUCCACCCCCUCAUCUGAGGCGUCCUCUCCCUGGACCUGGCAUGGUACAUUCUGACCCAUUUGGUCUAGGAAUUCCUCCCCGUCCAGGUCCUUUUGCACAUUUUAUAUGUUGCCACCUCCAGAAAUCAUGGAACAAAAGCUUGCUGCACAGCAUGUAGAAAUGCAGAGACUUGGCACAGAAAACCAAAGAAUUGCUGCUACCCAUGAGACAUUGAGACAGGAACUUGCUGCUGCACAGCAUGAGUUACAGAUCUUGCAUGCUCAGAUAGGAGCUGUAACACCUGAAAGAGAACAACAAAUGAGGAGCCUUGCGGAUAAAAUAGCUAAGAUGGAAGCAGAACUGCAAGCUGGACAUUGUUAUAAUAGAAUGUUCUUUCAAUUUUAAAACUGUAUGAGCAAAAUGAAAUAGACUAGGAUACUGCAAAGGAGUAAUCACUUUGAUAAUAAGUAUUAUUUAAUGAAAUCUUCUACAUAUUCCUUAAAGUUUUUGUCAUUGAGUUUAAGUUGGAUUAUAGGUUCAAUUGUAUUUAUUGUUCUAGAGGCUACACUAGGUAUCAACUUUAGCACCCUUUCUCUUUCAAUUUUUUUUUUCAAAUGGUAAAUAAAUGCGUAUGAAAAUAUUUAAGGA